GACGAACGCUGGCGGCGUGCUUAACACAUGCAAGUCGAACGAACAGACGAUGCGCUUGUGGCGUUCUCGAGUGCCGAACGCGUGAGUGACACACGUGUAUCCUGCCCUUGUCUUUGGGGUAACUUCUGGAGACUCCGGCUCAUACACCAGAGGAGCUCCUGCACCGUGUUGGGCAUUAGUGAGAUUCGGUGUUUCGGUAUCUUCUCGCUGCUUCCGCGCCGCUUUGGCUGGUUGGUAAGGUAACGGCUUUUCAAGGCAACGAUGCGUGACCGAGCUGAGAGGGUGAUCGGCCACACGGGAACUGGGACACGGUCCAGACUCCUACGGGAGGCAGCAGUAGGGAAUCUUCCGCAAUGGGCGAAAGCCUGACGGAGCAACGCCGCGUGAGUGAUGAAGGUCUUCGGAUCGUAAAACUCUGUUAUUAGGGAAGAACAAAUGUGUAAGUAACUAUGCACGUCUUGACGGUACCUAAUCAGAAAGCCACGGCUAACUACGUG
rnacentral:rRNA from 1 species